UUGUUUCUGAUUUUUUUGUGUGUGUAUGUGUGUGCAUAAUUUAGCUUUUAAUUUAACUGCAUUCCCUGUGUUGUAACAACAAUAACAUUGUUUAUAGGUGUCAGAAAAUUAUAUGCAAACACCCCUAUAUGGCUACAACAAUAUAAUUAUAACAUAUAUCUUUAUUUUAUUUUAUUUUAGGUCUGUGAAGCCAAACUUGAUGGUGGGCAUUUAUUUUUGUCACUGGAGUCAAAUGGCUGAAGCAGAAUUUGCCCGUCUUACAUCUGUUGACCUGAAAGGGUCCCGCUUUGCUGGGCUUGACCAAUAUGGAGAGGUUCAUGGAGCUGUACAAAACCAAGAGCGGCAUAGCAGGGCUAACUAGGCUCAUAAAAUGCUUCGAUGAUGAUAGCUUUACACAAAGGAAGAGGACAGAGGACCUCAUUUUCUCAAGGAAGAUCCCUCACACACUUUCAAGACUGUGAAGGUUAGCAUUGUUUCUUUUAGUUAAUUCAAUAAUUACACCACCAGAGUGGAUUUUAAAUCAAACAAUCAAGAUGUGAUUGAAGUGCAGACUUUAGGCUUUAACUCAAAGGGUUAACACCCUACUCCCUGUAGAUGCCACAUGAUAACGUGUAUACUCUU